UACAGAGGGGGCAAGCGUUGUUCGGAAUUACUGGGCGUAAAGGGCGCGUAGGCGGCCUGUUAAGUCGAACGUGAAAUCCCCGGGCUCAACCCGGGAACUGCGUCCGAAACUGGCAGGCUCGAAUUCGGGAGAGGGAUGCGGAAUUCCAGGUGUAGCGGUGAAAUGCGUAGAUAUCUGGAGGAACAUCGGUGGCGAAGGCGGCAUCCUGGACCGAGUAUUGACGCUGAGGCGCGAAAGCCAGGGGAGCAAAGCGGG
rnacentral:rRNA from 1 species